rnacentral:piRNA from 1 species
UGGAAUUGAAUUCGGUCGUCUUGAAGA